UACGUAGGUGGCAAGCGUUAUCCGGAUUUAUUGGGCGUAAAGGGAACGCAGGCGGUCUUUUAAGUCUGAUGUGAAAGCCUUCGGCUUAACCGGAGUAGUGCAUUGGAAACUGGGAGACUUGAGUGCAGAAGAGGAGAGUGGAACUCCAUGUGUAGCGGUGAAAUGCGUAGAUAUAUGGAAGAACACCAGUGGCGAAAGCGGCUCUCUGGUCUGUAACUGACGCUGAGGUUCGAAAGCGUGGGCAGCAAACAGG
rnacentral:rRNA from 1 species